UUGUUGGUAAGGUAAAAGCUUACCAAGGCUUCGAUCAGUAGCUGGUCUGAGAGGACGGCCAGCCACACUGGGACUGUGACACGGCCCAGACUCCUACGGGAGGCAGCAGUGGGGAAUUUUGGACAAUGGGGGCAACCCUGAUCCAGCCAUGCCGCGUGAGUGAAGAAGGCCUUCGGGUUGUAAAGCUCUUUCAGCCGGAACGAAACGGUUACGGUUAAUACCCGUGACUACUGACGGUACCGGAAGAAGAAGCACCGGCUAACUACGUGCCAGCAGCCGCGGUAAUACGUAGGGUGCAAGCGUUAAUCGGAAUUACUGGGCGUAAAGCGUGCGCAGGUGGUUUUGUAAGUCAGAUGUGAAAUCCCCGGGCUUAACCUGGGAACUGCGUUUGAAACUACAAGGCUAGAGUGUGGCAGAGGGGGGUGGAAUUCCGCGUGUAGCAGUGAAAUGCGUAGAUAUGUGGAGGAACACCGAUGGCGAAGGCAGCCCCCUGGGUCAACACUGACGCUCAGGCACGGAAGCAUGGGGAGCAAACAGGAUUAGAUACCCUGGUAGUCCAUGCCCUAAACGAUGUCAACUAGUUGUCGGGCCUUAACGGGCUUGGUAACGUAGCUAACGCGUGAAGUUGACCGUCUGGGGAGUACGAUCGCAAGAUUAAAACUCAAAGGAAUUGACGGGGACCCGCACAAGCGGUGGAUUAUGUGGAUUAAUUCGAUGCAACGCGAAAAACCUUACCUACCCUUGACAUGUAUCGAAGCCCGCAGAGAAGCGGGUGUGCCCGAAAGGGAACGAUAACACAGGUGCUGCAUGGCUGUCGUCAGCUCGUGUCGUGAGAUGUUGGGUUAAGUCCCGCAACGAGCGCAACCCUUGUCAUUAAUUGCCAUCAUUUAGUUGGGCACUUUAAUGAGACUGCCGG
rnacentral:rRNA from 1 species